AUUUGUCAUAAUUUUUAUUUCUGAUAUUUUGGAAAUUAUUUAAGACAAUUUAAGAAAUUUAGAGUUUAUUCUUAGUUUCUUAAAAGUUAUAACAUUAUUUUAAUUUUUUAACUAUUUCAAUUUCUUUUCAAACUUUUGCACUUUAUGAAAAACGUAAAAAUAUCUCUUUCUUUUAAUUAACUUAGAUUUUAUUGUAUCGCAGAGAUGAUAUAGAUUUUUAAAAAAGUUUAAUAAAAUCGCUAUCAAUUAUCUGUCUAAGCGCCGAUAUUCCUUCACUUAUCUAUUAGUCAUAAUUAAGUUUUUAAUUUUUUUUUUCUGUUUCCACUUAGACUAGAGAAGAAGAAAAGAAUUCGCCUAAAAAAAAAAUUAGAUAGCUUAUUGUACGUAAUAAUAAAAAUUGUUUAUAAAUGAUGCAUCUGAUGAUACGAAUCGUUGCGUUAAAUCUUCGAUUAAUCCAAUGACUCAGUGGAAAAGUAGAAAGAGAGAUAACUCGAUUGCCUCGCAUAUUAUUAUCUAUUUUCGAUUUACAUCUUCAAAUUGAUUACAUUUCUUAUUAAACGCUUUUCAAUAAAUAAUUUUUUCGUACAAGGAAACAAAAACAUUGAAAAUUGUAAUUGUAAUUGAAACAUUGAAAAUUGUAACCCAACUUAGCAUUCUUUUGGAAAUUAAUAAUUGAAGAGAUUGUAGAAUCGUGGAAAAAAUUUUCUCGAAUGUUAUCGCGUGACUUUUACUCUCGUCAUUUGGAAUCUUCUCUCCGUUCGAUAAAAUCAAAAAAUCAAAAAGAAGAAGGAAACGAAAUCUUUCUUUUACCUAACCUCUUUUACGAAUAUUUAACAACGCAUAUAAUUUCGAUUAAUACGAAAGGAGAAGGAUUCGACGAAAAUUUUCUCGAUCAUCGUUAAAAUAAUCUCGUUAUUUGGAAUCGUCUCUCCGUUCGAUAAAAUCAAAAAAUCAAAAAGAAGAAGGAAACGAAAUCUUUCUUUUACCUAACCUUUUUUACGAAUACUUAAUACUUCAUAUAUUUCGAUUAAUGCGACGAGAAGGAUUCGACAAAAAUUUUCUCGAAUGUUAUCGCACGAGCGUGACUUUUACUUGAUCAUCGUUAAAAUAAUUUCGUCAUUUGGAAUCGUCUCUCCGUUCGAUAAAAUCAAAAAAUCAAAAAGAAGAAGGAAACGAAAUCUUUCUUUUACCUAACCUCUUUUACGAAUAUUUAACAACGCAUAAUACAAUUUCGAUUAAUGGGACGAGAAGGAUUAAAAAAGGAAUUAAAAAAAGAAGAUUCUCAAGAGAAUUCAAAAGUCAAAGAUACAGAUUGAAAAAAAUUUAUCAUACAAAAACUCUCUCUCGUCCUUUCAACAAGCAACACGAAAACAAAUUCCAUCGAAUCCAGCCUGUUCCCCGAAGCAAAUCACACCACCCUCCUGGCUGUCGCUGCGAGUGAGCCAGCCCCAAUUUAAGAAUUGGGGCGGCCACUCCCGCCAGCCACAGGUGUCGUUUACAACGCGUUCCAAAGAAUUAUUCUCCGUCGAAUCGAAGGGGUUGCGUUCUCCACGAUUCCUCCUCCACCCUCCCCUCGUUUACAGAGAGAGAGAGAGAAUGAAAAACAAAGAGAGGCGACUCUUGUUUGAGGCAACAUGUGUGACGAUGGAGGAUUGGAGGCGGCGUUGUAUCCACAGCCACCUGCCGCAAGGCUGGCCACGUUCGUACGCACGUCCUGGGAAUUCGCUUUGCCGGAACGUAAAACGCGUGGAACGCGUCACGAAGGAUUCCGGUGUGAAUGAAUCACUUAAACGAGAAACACGCGGCUGGCAUACGUAAUGUUUCUGUUCGCGGCGCUUGAGAUGUUUGCCCGGGGAGAUGACGGGUUGAUGGAUGGAUGUUGGUGGUUGGUGGAGGAGAAGAGAACUUACUUUCGCCCUCCCCUCCCCCUUUUCACUCGCCACGCAACAGUCUCGAGCGAGGAUUCUCGAGAGAGAAUUUGUCGGGGAAUUUCCAAUUUUUCAACAUUUUUCAAAUCGAUCGAGAAAAAAAUGAUUAUCUCGUACAGCGAUAAGCGAUGGGUCAUUGAAUCGAUAAAAUUGAUAGAUGGAAUUGAAUCGAUAAUCUGGCUAGAAUAGUUGAAAAAUUUUCUCAGAGAGGAGGAGAAGAAAUUUGACGUGAUCAUGAACUAAUCGUGAGUCAUCCAACCGAUCGCUUAACACCGUCAGUGUUUCUCUCGAACAACGAUCCCUCUGUGACGAAAGGAAACGGAUACAGGAUCCCCCUUCGACGACUCUCUUCGACGGAUUGAAAAAAGAGAGAGAAAAAAAAAGACGAGGAAUACAGAAACAUCGGCCAUCGAUCAUCCCGAACAAUUACGUAAAAAUUAACGUCGAAAGCCUGUCGAAUCGUAUAAUAACGAAUUCACAUGCUGUCCAAGUCAAAAUCUUUCCUUUCAUCGAUGAAAAUUAGUCUUCCAAAUCUCUUUCGAUAACUCUUCAACAAUACGAAAUAUGAGAUCAUUUUGAAAAUUUGUAACAAAAUUCUUUAGAAAAUCAAUCUUUCGUUCAUCUCAAUUCUUCAUCGAUGAAAAUUACUUUUCCAAAUCUCUUUCGACAAUAAAUAUGAGAUGUCGAUCAUUUUGAAAAUUUAUAAUAAAAUUCUUUAGAAAAUCAAAUCAUCAUUUCAUCGAUCUUUCGCUCAUCUCAAUUCUUCAUCGAUAAAAAUUAUUCUUCCAAAUCUCUUUCGACAAUAACUCUUCGACAAUAAAUAUGAGAUCUCGAUCAUUUUAAAAAUUUACAAAAUACAAAAAACAAAAUUCUUUAGAAAAUCAAUUUCAUCGAUUAUCCUUUUUAUUUAACAAACUCGACAUCUUUCAUCUCAAUUCUUCAUCGAUGAAAAUUAUUCUUCCAAAUCUCUUUCAAUAACUCUUCAACAAUACGAAUAUGACAUCAUUUAAAAAAUUUAUAACUUCCUAAUAAUCUUUCUCCUAUUUAACAAACUCGACAUCUUUCAUCUCAAUUCUUCAUCGAUAAAAAUUAUUCUUCCAAAUUUCGACAAUAACUUUUCAACAAUAAAUAUGAGAUUUCGAUCAUUUAAAAAAUUUAUAACAAAAUUCUUUAGAAAAUCAAUUUCAUCGAUCUUUCGCUCAUCUCAAUUCUUCAUCGAUGAAAAUUAGUCUUCCAAAUCUCUUUUGACAAUAACUCUUCAAUAAUAAAUAUGAGAUCUCGAUCAUUUAAAAAAUUUAUAAUUCUUUAGAAAAUUCUUUCAUCGAGGAUUAUAUUUUUCUUUUAUCCACCAAACUCGACAAAAUCUUUCAUCUCAACAAGAGCUUAAAUUACCAAAAAAAAAAAAAAACACUUUUCGAUUAUCCCAGAAGAUUUUACAUCCACGAAAUUCUUCCUAAGAAUUUCCUUCCACCGAUGAAAAUUAUUUUUCCAAUGGCAAGCAAGCAUCGACGCGAGAUGACGUUGGAAAUUUUAUUAAUUUAUAUAUCGAGCAAGGAAGAGGGGUGUGAGAUAUGCGCUUCGAUAUUAACUUCACCCUCUCCCCUCCUUCUCUCCGUCUACUUUUCGACGCCUUUCCUUCUAUCCGGACGAAGAUUUAAUUCGUUUCGGAGCGACGAUGCCCGGAUAAAGAAGUGGAGACGGGGUGAAAAUGACGAGGGAUAACGAGGGAGCAGAAUGGAAGAGAAUGGAACCGUAUGAGUUGGCAGCGAGCAUCGGUUGUGAGUCAGUCUAACAAUUUUCUCUGCGACAUCUCGUCCUCCCUCCCCCUCCAAUGAUUCUCUUUCCUUCCUUCCUUCCUUCUUUCUUUUUUUUUCGUUUCACGUGACACGAGUUUAUAAGAGGAAUUGAAAUGGUUUGAAGUGGAAUGCUUUUUAGUAAAAUUGAAAGAAUUUGAAUCGACGGAUAAUCGAGAGAUUGGAAAGAAAUUCGAAUUUUUAUACGCGGAGAAAAAUGGAUGAUUUUUGUAAAAAAGAAAGAACUUUUAUUGCGAAAGGCAUUGCUGCUUACUCGGCUAUUGUUCUAAAUUUAACCAUUGUGCUAUACCUUCGCCCGAUGAAACUUGCACGAAGGUAGGUAAAAAUCGCUUUGUACUAUUGUUACGUUAGUACUAUCUAGAGACCAGCGUGCUCUCUCUUUGUCAAUAAACAUUAUCGAUCCGAGAGUUAGAGAGGCGAUUGUGACGUGGCUCGGCUACAUGUAAAACGACGCACCAACCAUGCCCGAUAUCUCCUCCUCGUGUAUGCUUUCAUUCAACCUUUGUUGUCCAUUAGAUAGAGAAUAAUGAAGAAUGUGAAGCACGAUAUAAAAAAAAAGAAAAAGAAAGAAAGAAAUAAGCAAUAAAAAGAGACCGAGAGAAGAAACGUUUCCACUCUUUCUCUUUGCACUUUUAAUCCAAAGAGAAAGAAAAUUAAACACGGAUAAAAAUUUUUGAAGUACAAACAUUUCCAAUAGAUCUUAGAUACAUAUUUUUCUUUUUUCUUUUUUCUUUCUAUCUUUAUCAAGAUUAAUCUUCACUAUAAUAUAUACUAUAUCACAGAGACAUUUCUAUCCCCAUCAAGUAUUGUUAAGUAUCGUUUCAACUUUCAUUAUAAUCUUCUAGAUCUUUAAUUAUUAUUUAAAAAACUAUUAUUUAAAUUAUUCGAAGUAGAUAUAUGUACAAAGCUUCUUUCUUUUUCCUUUCCACUAAUUCAACUUGCCAUCUUUUCUGAAUCCUCCAAAUGUAAUUUAUUAAAUUUUAAAGAAUUCAACUUCUAAAAAAAUUCCCAACGAAAGAUAAAAGAGACUCGUCCUUUCGAAUCUAACUCGAGUAAAAAAGAAAAGGGAGAGGAGAAACCUUGUCAAAAAAAGAAAAAAGAAACGAAAGAUAAAGACACGCAAGCUUUCUUUGCUCGAUGAAAAUUUUAUUCUUCAUAUUCGCCAUCACAGUGGAUUAAAAGAGAAAAAGGAAUAAUGACGUACGCUCUUUCUACUGACAUCCAUCGAUCCGAGAAACGAUUUUUCGAUCGUUGGAGAAUUAUAAAGAACGAAUGCAACACAGGUGUGGGUAACGGGAUGGAAAAUUAGUAUUCACCCGAUUUCUUUCUUUUUUUUUUCGGUGUUAAGAUAACCGUGUGAUGGGUUGUCAUUUAUCGCCACACGGCUUAUCGUCACACGCUUAUCGUUCAGGUGGGCACUCCGAUACGGUGUUUAGUCACCCCGGAUUCGAGUGGAAAAAAAGGAGGAAGAAACUGGUAGAUAAUAAAAAAAGAGAGAGAGAGAAAGAGGAGGAGAGGAAAUGAAAUCGCGCGAUAAGAGGUGUUUUGCUCUUAGGGAAAAUUAUUUAGAAUUUCCAGGAAUCGAUAACGCGAUCGAUAACGUGGCUUAUUUAUCUAUAUUUUAAAAAAAAAGAUUUUUACAAGGGAUAAACUCGAUCACAAGUAGAUUAAUUGUAUAACUAAUUUGAUUUUUAUCUGAUAAACAGUCGACAUUGUAACUGUUUCUUUCUUCUACAAUCGGUGAUUAUUAUUUCAUAAUCUAGUUGCUCCGAUCCUUUCCUUCUUUCUUUUUCCUUUCCACUAACAAUUCAACUUGCCAUCUUUUCUGAAUCCUCCAAAUGUAAUUUUACAUUUAUUAAAUUUUAAAGAAUUCAACUUCUAAAAAAAUGCCCAACGAAAGAUAAAAGAGACUCGUCCUUUCGAAUCUAACUCGAGUAAAAAAAAAAGGGAGAGGAGAAACCUUGUCAAAAAAAAGAAAAAAGAAACGAAAGAUAAAGACACGCAAAGAUGAAGAAACGCACGGUCCAAUCUCACGAUCCUUUCACCAAAAAAAAAAAAAAAAAAAAA